rnacentral:rRNA from 1 species
GGCGGUAGGCUUAACUCAUGCAAGUCGAGCGGUAACAGACAUUUUGAUUUUGCUUGCAAAAUCUCGUGCUGACGAGCGGCGAACGGGUGAGUAACGCGUAGGAAUCUACCUAGUAGAAGGGGAUAGCCCGAGGAAACUCGGAUUAAUACCGUAUACGUCCUUAGGGAGAAAGAGGGCUUAGCUUUGAUGCUCUCGCUAUUAGAUGAGCCUGCGUAAGAUUAGCUUGUUGGUGAGGUAAAGGCUCACCAAGGCGACGAUCUUUAGCUGGUCUGAGAGGACGAUCAGCCACAUUGGGACUGAGACACGGCCCAGACUCCUACGGGAGGCAGCAGUGGGGAAUAUUGGACAAUGGGCGCAAGCCUGAUCCAGCCAUACCGCGUGUGUGAAGAAGGCCUUCGGGUUGUAAAGCACUUUAAGUAAGGAAGAAAAGAGUAUUGUUAAUACCAAUACUCCGUGACAUUACUUACAGAAUAAGGACCGGCUAAUUCCGUGCCAGCAGCCGCGGUGAUACGGAAGGUCCAAGCGUUAAUCGGAAUUACUGCGCGU